rnacentral:rRNA from 1 species
GACGAACGCUGGCGGCGUGCUUAACACAUGCAAGUCGAACGGAAAGGCCUCGUUCGGGGGGUACUCGAUUGGUGAACGGUUGAGUAACGCGUUAGUAACCUGCACAUGACUUUGGGAUAACUUCUGGAAACUGGGGCUAAUACCGGAUAGGAGCUCCUUCUGCAUGGUGUGGGUUGGAAUGGUUCGGCGGUUGGGGAUGGGCUCGCGGCUUAUCAGCUGGCUGGUGGUGUAGUGGCUGACCAAGGCUUUGACGGGUAGCCGGCCUGAGAGGGUGACCGGCCACAUUGGGACUGAGAUACGGCCCAGACUCCUACGGGAGGCAGCAGUGGGGGAUAUUGCACAAUGGGUGGAAGCCUGAUGCAGCAACGCCGUGUGCGGGAUGACGGCCUUCGGUUGUAAGCCGCUUUCGCUCAUGACGAAGCUUUGUGAGACGGUAGUGGGUAAAGAAGGCCCGGCUAAAUACGUG